CAAUAAACAGCUAUAUCAAUGCCCCUGCAUAUCUUCACGCCUUUCAGUUCCUUCCCGAACAUCGAAUGUAAGGUGCGCCGGGCUGAAAUACAAAUAAGAAAUCACUUAGGUUCGCCGAGGUUGUCAUCUUUAACCAUGAGCACUUCAACAACAACAACGAGUUCCGAGCGGGAAGCGCCAAGGAUGUCGAAUUGCUGCCAACGACCUUCAAGAAGCUCAAGUGUGGAGUGACGAUCAUUCAGGAUGCAACGGUCAAGCAGAUCGGGAGCACUGUGAAAUUGCUUGAACAGAAA